rnacentral:rRNA from 1 species
UACAGAGGGUGCGAGCGUUGUCCGGAAUCACUGGGCGUAAAGGGCGCGUAGGUGGCUGGGUAAGCGUGUGGUGAAAGCCCGGGGCUCAACCCCGGGUCGGCCAUGCGAACUGCCCGGCUGGAGCACGGUAGAGGCCAAUGGAAUUCCGGGUGUAGCGGUGGAAUGCGUAGAGAUCCGGAAGAACACCGGUGGCGAAGGCGGUUGGCUGGGCCGUGGCUGACACUGAGGCGCGACAGCGUGGGGAGCAAACAGG